GACAGAGGAUGCAAGCGUUAUCCGGAAUGAUUGGGCGUAAAGCGUCUGUAGGUGGCUUUUUAAGUCCGCCGUCAAAUCCCAGGGCUCAACCCUGGACAGGCGGUGGAAACUACCAAGCUGGAGUACGGUAGGGGCAGAGGGAAUUUCCGGUGGAGCGGCGAAAUGCGCAGAGAUCGGGAGGAACACCAGCGGCGAAGGCGGCAAACUGGAUAGGCACUGACACUCAACAAC
rnacentral:rRNA from 1 species